UACGUAGGGGGCAAGCGUUGUCCGGAAUCAUUGGGCGUAAAGCGCGUGUAGGCGGCUCGGUAAGUCCGCUCUGAAAGUCCAGGGCUCAACCCUGGGAUGCGGGUGGAUACUGCCGGGCUCGAGUCCGGAAGAGGCGAGUGGAAUUCUCGGUGUAGCGGUGAAAUGCGUAGAUAUCGAGAGGAACACCUGCGGCGAAGGCGGGUUGCUGGGCUGACACUGACGCUGAAGCGCGAAAGCUAGGGGAGCGAACGGG
rnacentral:rRNA from 1 species